ensembl:lncRNA
ACACCUCCACGUGCACGUGCGCAGGUGCAGAUUCGUGCGCCCGCUUUUUCCUGUGUGAAGAAACGCUGUGCUGUUAAUCCCGACUGUUGUCGCGCAACUCUUUCCCCCUUGUUCUCUCCCUCCUUCUGCGCUGCACCACUGUAUUGCUCCCUUUCAUCUCAUCUCUCAUCUCUAAAGAGAAUAUGCCUAUCUGCGGGCCAGGUGUUUCCACUGGACUGACAGCAUGCUGGCUUCAUAGGUAACACACUAUGAUGUACUCUUGGGACAUUAGUUUGGACAGCAACGUCGCAGCCUGGCAGAGAGUAACCCCCCCAGGGGAGUGGACUGUGCUGCAUACGUGUAACAUGCUGCUGUGCACUGGACAUGUCCGUCUGACCACGAGUUACGAGGUGUUGCUGAAUUCACACAGAGACCUUGGGAACCUUGGAAAUCUGUGGCACAGAGUGGCGAGGAGACGUG